rnacentral:rRNA from 1 species
CAGGAUUAGAUACCCUGGUAGUCCACGCAGUAAACGAUGAAUGUUAGUCGUCGGGGGCCUAGUGUCUUCGGUGAUGCAGCUAACGCAUUAAACAUUCCGCCUGGGGAGUACGGUCGCAAGAUUAAAACUCAAAGGAAUAGACGGGGACCCGCACAAGUGGUGGAGCAUGUGGUUUAAUUCGAAGAUACGCGGAGAACCUUACCUAGCCUUGACAUAUUUAAGAACUCCGUAGAGAUACAGAGGUGCCUUCGGGAGCUUUCUUACAGGUGCUGCACGGCUGUCGUCAGCUCGUGUCGUGAGAUGUUGGGUUAAGUCCCGCAACGAGCGCAACCCUCGUCACUAGUUACUAACGGUUCGGCCGAGGACUCUAGUGAGACUGCCUUCGUAAGGAGGAGGAAGGUGAGGACGACGUCAAGUCAUCAUGGCCCUUACGGCUAGGGCAACACACGUGCUACAAUGGCCAGGACAGUGAGACGCGAUACCGUGAGGUGGAGCAAAUCUAUAAACCUGGUCUCAGUUCGGAUUGUAGUCUGCAACUCGACUACAUGAAGCUGGAAUCACUAGUAAUCGUAGAUCAGCUAUGCUACGGUGAAUACGUUCCCGGGUCUUGUACUCACCGCCCGUCACACCAUGGGAGUUGAUUUCACCCGAAGCGGGGAAGCUAAACUGGCUACCCUCCACGGUGGAAUUAGCGACUGGGGUGAAGUCGUAACAAGGUA